AUAUUGGUCAAUGGAUGCAAGUCUGAACCAGCCAUGCCGCGUGCAGGAAGAAGGCCUUCUGGGUUGUAAAGCUCUUUUACCCGGGAUGAUAAUGACGGUACCUGGAGAAUAAGCCCCGGCUAACUUCGUGCCAGCAGCCGCGGUAAUACGAAGGGGGCUAGCGUUGCUCGGAAUCACUGGGCGUAAAGCGCACGUAGGUGGAUCUUUAAGUCAGGGGUGAAAUCCUGGAGCUCAACUCCAGAACUGCCUUUGAUACUGGAGAUCUUCGAGUCCGGGAGAGGUGGGUGGAACUGCGAGUGUAGAGGUGAAAUUCGUAGAUAUUCGCAAGAACACCAGUGGCGAAGGCGGCUCACUGGCCCGGUACUGACACUGAGGUGCGAAAGCGUGGGGAGCAA
rnacentral:rRNA from 1 species